CACCGGGAGGGAGGGCGAGGCCUCGCCGGGCCUCGGUGUCUCCGGCGUUGAAGCGGAGGCCCGAGGCCCAGGAGCCAGCCUCCAGCAGAGGUCUGGGCGCGGGCAGUGGGAUUAGGAGUUCCUGAGCCUCUCCCACCCAGAAUUGUGCCGGGAGCGGCCCGUCCUACGGGCCGUGGCGGCGAAGGCGGCCAAGGUGGGGAACCCGUCGGGUGGGGCUGGGGCGCCGCGCGCUCCCGGGAGAGCCUCGGUGAGGAUGCGGGGACCCAGCGGACCCCUUGCAGCCCGGUGUUUGAGUUUCCAGGUCUGAAACGAUCCACAACAUCAUGGCGGGCUUUGGGGUGUAGGGUCCCUGGGAGGAGAGCCCAUGCUUGCGUGAGUCCUUUGGAGUCUCCAGAUCCCAGGCUUUCGGUGGACGAGAAUUUAAGAACGAGAAGAUCCUAGGAGGCCCCGUGUGUUUGCUUCCAAAUCCAUCAAGAAAGGGUUAACUCGUGUCUCAAUUUCAGGAAAAUGAGUGAGCUGGAAUACCUACACGUGAGAGUGUUUGUGGUGUUUAAGAAAAUGCAUCUGCAACUGUGUAGUGAACUGGGUGAAAGAUUUUGGCUCUGGAAAAGAACUUCUAACAUAGACUUUUUAAUGUCAGAGGAUCUAGCAAAGCAGCUGGCCAGCUACAAAGCUCAGCUCCAGCAAGUAGAAGCUGCACUAUCUGGAAAUGGAGAAAAUGAAGAUUUGCUAAAAUUGAAGAAAGAUUUACAAGAAGUUAUAGAACUAACCAAAGACCUUCUGUCAACUCAACCUUCAGAAACUCUUGCAAGUUCAGACAGUUUUGCCUCUACUCAGCCCACUCAUUCAUGGAAAGUAGGAGACAAGUGUAUGGCAAUCUGGAGUGAAGAUGGACAGUGUUAUGAAGCGGAGAUUGAGGAGAUAGAUGAAGAAAAUGGCACCGCUGCAAUCACCUUUGCUGGUUAUGGCAAUGCUGAAGUGACUCCACUGUUGAACCUCAAGCCUGUGGAAGAAGGAAGGAAGGCAAAGGAGGACAGUGGCAACAAACCCAUGUCAAAAAAAGAAAUGAUUGCCCAGCAGCGUGAAUAUAAAAAGAAGAAAGCUUUGAAAAAAGCACAGAGAAUAAAAGAACUUGAGCAGGAAAGAGAGGAUCAGAAGGUGAAAUGGCAACAAUUCAACAACAGAGCUUAUUCUAAAAAUAAAAAAGGCCAGGUAAAGAGGAGUAUUUUUGCUUCACCUGAAAGUGUAACCGGCAAAGUGGGAGUAGGAACUUGUGGAAUUGCUGAUAAACCCAUGACGCAAUAUCAAGAUACCUCUAAAUACAAUGUCAGGCAUUUGAUGCCUCAGUAAUCAGAAAAACUGUUGGAUUUCGUCUCUGCAGGGCUUUACAUUUACCUUUUUAUCCUUAUAUUUUUCUAAAGGGUUUUUGAGUUGCAAGCUAAACUGAAUUUUUACUGCAGUGGAGAGGAAGAGCAGAGCAGGCAAAAAUAACAGCCCUGUAUUUACUUUAGCAAGAUGCAGUGUGAAUUUCUGACCCGAGAAACAAAGAAUUCAGGCUUGGAGGAAACACUUCACUCCAUAUCCCGGGAACACUAGAAUUGAAGCCCAAGAUCUGCAGCUAGGCUAGUCUUUAAUAGAUCGUAAUUGUCCAAUUGUUCAUUGCUCAGAAGUAGCAGGAAGGAGGAGUAAGUAUAUCCCUUUGGUUCUUUGUUUGUUCCUCCAAAAGUGCUGUCAGGUUUAGCUGACCUAGCUUUCAGAUUAAGUGUGAUGAAACACUUUAGAAACAACUGACCUCUUAAAUUUAUAUUUUAAUAUAGAUCUUAGAAAUAUCUUAUGGCUUUUGUUAUAUUUUUACAGUGCUAUUCUGUGCUCUGGUGUGAACAUCUAAAAAUAUCCUAACCACUGCCCAACCAAUAAACAUGUUUAAUCAUUCCCCAUGACAAAGCCUACAGAAUUGAGGGAAUAGAAAAAAAUUCCAAAAUUACAGUGUUAGUUGGCAGUAUUUUAAAAGCAUUUAAAAAAAUAUUUAAAGCUUUUUUCAAAUUAAAAUUCUGAAGAAAGGUAAAACAACCAAG